UCUAGAAGGAACCAACCCUGAGAAUACCUUGAUUUUGAACUUCUGGACUGCUGAGCUCUGAGACAAUGUGUUCCUGUUAAGUCACCCAAUUUGUGAUUGCAGAAGUGAGGCACAGGAAGCCAAGAAAACUGGUCAAGAACCCAUGGAAAGGAAGUGACAGAACCAGAAUUUAAGCCCGUGCGGCAUGAGAGGAAGUGACAGAACCCGAAAUUUAAACCCACGCGGUUGGGUUCUGCAGCUGCUUGACUUUGAGUUUCACCUCUGGCCCCUUCUGAAUUUGUCCUGCUUGUCUCUUUUGCUGGCGUCUGGCCUCCUAUCACCUGCAUUCCGCUUUCCUUCAGAUGGCCAUGUGUACCCAGCAGGGGUGUGUAUUGUCACAACAGCACCAAAGUGAAGACAAUGAAAUUAAUGUCCACCACUGAGUGUAAGCAGAGCUGGGAAGAUCUCAAGGAUCCAAAGCAAUUACUUCCUCGCUUGAUGCUGUAGUCCUUUAACCCCAACCUGUUCCCUCCCAAACAGACUCAAUCUGUCCAUUCUGCUCUGGAACAGGGCUGGACAGAGGAUGGGACAGGAUACGAACGCUAACUACAUUAUCCCCCAAAGCAUCUUAAUGGGCAGUUUUUAUAGCACUUUCCAAGUUAAAUAUUCCAGGUAUGAAUGAAACAGUCCUGGUGUGUGUGUGCUUGUGUGUGUGUGUGUGUGUGUGUGUGUGUGUGUGUAUGCGUGCACGCACGCAGGUUUCAUUAGAGCAAAUGAAUAGGAAAUAUGUCUUUGCUGGUAUGUAUUGAGGUAGAAGAUGAAUUAGGGCUAUUUAUUCGCCACAUAAAAUGGGGAUCUUAUUUAUUUAAUUUUGCUUCAUAAAUAUCUUGAGAUGUCAAUUUUCUUUUCCGUGAGGUUGAUGCCACACUAAAUGCCUCUUUUAUGAUUCCUGGUGACUUCAAACUCUCUCUGAAUGCCCCACCUGGGCGUGGCUAAAUUUUCAGCUGUCUCCGCCUCCACUUCUGGGUCUCUGUGGUGGCAGUCUGGGAGAUGCGGGCUAUGGGAACAUAAGCUCAUAUCAGCACCAGACUGCACAACAGCUAGCCACAAAGGGCAAGAUGCCAGCAGAGCAAGAAACUUUCUAAGGUCCUGCUCCCUUUCCAGCAUCUUUCUGCUGCACCCACCCUUGCUCAAGGUCCAUGCAUGGGGCAGGGGAGGAAAGAAGCAUAGAAACGCAGCUCUUUGUCUCUACCAAUCCUUUUCUGUUUCGUUCGUGCGUGCGUGUGUGGGCGUGUGUGCGUGCGUGCAUGUGCGUGCAUGGGCGGGAUCAAAGAUGUAACCCUGGACCCUGACAGGCUAGGCAAGCACUUGACCUCUGAGCUACACCCGCAGUCCCGUUUCUUAAUGAGUAGUGUUCUUGACUUGUUUUCAAAUAUAUUGUUUUCCUAAAUUUUGGAAAAUCUAAACAGAAAUUUGGAAAGCCACUUAAUAAAAUUGCUACUUUUCAGAGAGUUUGGGAAAAAAAACGUUUCGCCCUUAGGUGGUGAGGGAAGAAGAUGGAAAAGAAAAUAUCUGCGAAACUUGUGCUACGUCCAAAAACCAUUUUUCUUUUUUUUGUUUUUCUUGUAAAACUUUGUCAUUAAGAUGCAGGUAUUUAUGGAAGACAGGUAGUCUCUAGUUUUUUUCCCUCUGGGACCGCUCCUCUUAAUGAUUAGAUUCCUUUGAUCUCUGUCUCUCUGUCUCUCUCUCUGUCUCUCCGUCUCUGUCUCUGUCUGUCUGUCUGUCUCUCCCCCCUCCCCUCUCUCUCUGUCUCUCUCCCUCCCUCCCUCUCCAUCUCUCUGGUUUGGAAAUGGGGAUCCCAGCUCCUCAACUCAAGAAAUCACUUCAGCCUUGUUAGCCAGUGAAUCUACAGACAGGUGCCGUCACGCCUGGCUUUUUCAGCACUUCUUGAACUGCUAGCAAUGGGUUUCAACUGUGGUCAACAUUGGAAACACAUGGGGAGUGUUAGAAAAUGCCAGCACCAGGAUGCUCUCAGGACCCACACUGGAAAGUGAAGGCUGGAAUUCAGAUAGCUCAAUUUUUUAAAAAGGUCUCCAGAGGCUUAAUAUUUAUAAUGAUAAGGAGCUUAUGUGAAUGAACUAUGACCCAAAAUAUGAAUGCACAAGCACGUCAGUCAAGGGAGACUAUGAGGGCUGGGGCUCUAGCUCAGUGGUGUAGUGCUUCCCUGCAAGCCCUGGAUUUGAUCCCCAAGACUGCAAAGAAAACAAUUAUACUCUCCUGAAAAAGACCUGUGUUUAAUAUUACUACUGAUAAAAAUCCAUUCAUAAAAAUAUGGACUUAUAACUUUGUAAUUUAUAAAAGCAUAGUAGUGAGUAAUAAAUUGUUGAGAGGAAUUUGGUACACUUUGUCACUCACUACUUGUGAUCAUAUAAAGCAGAAUAAAUUUUUAUAGUAAUAAAAAACUGGAAAAUUUAUACUCAGAAGUUUUAUAAUUUUGUUCCAGAGAAGUUUUCAUUGCAAAACAACUCCAAAAAGAAAGCCUAAUGCAAUAAUGUUUAUUGUAUUAUUGCCUACCAUACAGAAAUAGUUAUAUAAGUUUCAGUGUCCCAAAGUAUAAAUGAUCAUAUUAGUAUCGGAUCAUGGAAGUGAACUAUGUAGCUAUGAAAAAUAUAAUUAUGAAUAUUGUGUAAUAAUAUGAAGACAUUUUUCAACAUGCUGCUAAAUAAAAAAGCAUAAGCUAAAUACUCUUGUUCACCACGUCAAUGACAAGAGAAAAGAAAAAUGGCUAGAAUGUGUAAAAAUGAAAUUAGUUAUACUAGGGUAUGAGAUUAUAAAUUAUCUUCUAAAUUACUUAAAGAAUACAAGGAUUUUUUCCACCUUAAAAAAAAUGUGUGUUUUUUGGGGAUUGAACCCAGAGCUCAU